CACCGCUCGCGAUAGGCGUCGAUCAGGGCUAGGGUUUCUUCUUGGGUCCAACACGGCGGUGGAAAUCUCCUCACCGGAGGUAGAGGCUUCUCCUCCUCCACCGCCGGCGGGGAUGUUUCUGCGACGGUGACAUCAAGGUUAGACGACAUCGUAUUAUGGUGUUGUCUUGUUUUUAGAAAAUUGAGUGGUGUUUUUUUAAGUGAUUGAAUUUAGAUGGGAAGUUGAGAUAUAAAUGGGG
rnacentral:lncRNA from 1 species